GAGAGUGCAAGAGUGAGAGAGUGCGAGGGAGAAGUGGAGAGGGAGGGAUUAAGCAAAGAUUAUUGAUGAAUUAGCCCAGCUCUCCUUCCCUUCUCCUCCUCUUUUUCCUCCCUCCCUCCCUCCCUUCUCCCUCCC